rnacentral:rRNA from 1 species
AUUGAACGCUGGCGGCAGGCCUAACACAUGCAAGUCGAGCGAGCGACGGACGGGUGAGUACUGGAUGGGGGCUGCCCGAUAGAGGGGGAUAACUACUGGGAACGGUGACUAAUACCACAUCCUGUCGGAUAAGCCAUGUGGGAUUAGCUAGUAGGUAAGGUAAUGGCUUACCAAGGCGACGAUCCCUAGCUGGUCUGGGAGGAUGAUCAGCCACACUGGGACUGAGACACGGCCCAGACUCCUACGGAGGCAGCAGUGGGGAAUAUUGCACAAUGGGCGAAAGCCUGAUGCAGCCAUGCCGCGUGUAUGAAGAAGGCCCUAGGGUUGUAAAGUACUUUCAGUCGGGAGGCGUUACCGACAGAAGAAGCACCGGCUAACUCCGUGCCAGCAGCCGCGGUAAUUC